rnacentral:misc_RNA from 1 species
AUGAACAUCACAUGAGUUCAGAAAACUUCAGCUUUGAUAUCUAAAUAUAUAUGUAUCACUGGUCGCAUGUAAUAUCGAUCCUUCUCCAAAAUGAAGAACUCGUCAAAUAUCAGUCUAGCUCUUUGGGUUGUCAUCACUAUCAUCUUUUUCUUCUCCAAAUCUCACCAGCAAAUUUUCCCUCCCCUACCCAUCCCAAAUCCUAGACUGAUAAAGGCUUAUAUAGCUCUCCAAGCUUGGAAACUUGCAAUGACUUCUGAUCCCAACAAAUUUACUGCCAAUUGGAAUGGGCCUGAUGUCUGCAAUUACACUGGUGUUUAUUGUGCAGCAGCCCCAGAUGACCCCCUCAAGUUAACGGUCGCUGGAAUAGACCUGAAUCACGCCAACAUUGCUGGAUUCUUGCCGGAAGAGCUCGGCCUCCUCAAGGACCUUGCUCUCUUCCACUUAAAUUCUAACCGCUUCUAUGGUACAAUACCUGCUAGCUUUAUCCAUCUCCACCUUCUUUAUGAACUUGACGUUAGUAACAAUCAAUUUAGUGGCCCGUUUCCUUGCGUUGUUCUUGAUCUACCUUCACUCAAAUAUCUCGACAUUAGAUUCAACGAGUUCCACGGUGACAUCCCAAAAGAAGUUUUUGAGCUAGAACUCGAUGCCCUUUUCCUUAAUGAUAACAAAUUUGACUCACCUUUGCCUGAAAAUUUAGGCAAUUCACCCGUCUCAGUGUUCGUCAUAGCCAAUAAUAACGCUGGUGGUUCCAUCCCUCCAAGUUUGGCAAAAAUGGCAGGGACCCUUGAAGAGAUUGUUCUCUCUAAUUUGGGAUUGACAGGUUGUUUACGCCAAGAUAUUGGGACGUUAAAAGGGUUGAAAGUUCUUGAUGUGAGCUUUAACAAGCUAUGUGGGCCGUUGCCAGAAUCUACGGGAGAAAUAAGAAACUUGGAGCAGCUAAGUGUGGCACACAACAAGUUGUCUGGUCAGGUUCCCGAGAGUAUAUGUUCCUUGCCUAAUCUGGACAACUUCACUUACUCUUUCAAUUACUUCUCCAGUGAGUCAUCUGUGUGCCUUAGAUUGCCAGCGAAAGAUGAUAGCAGAAAUUGUAUUCCAGGUAGGCCUUUGCAACGAUCUCCUGAAGAAUGCAGGUACUUUUACACACAUCAAGGUAAUUGUGGUGCUAAUACAUGCUCACGGAGCUAGAACUCCACUAGCACUGCCACUAUACCAUUAGUGGAUCGCAAUUGAUGAGUUCUUUUCUUCAGUCAGUUUGUAUAAGUGUUUUAAUGGCAUAUUAUCCUUGGAAGCUGCCUUAUGUGUAAGUUGGUAGGAUUAUAAUUUUAUGCAUAUGAAGUUAAAUUUCAGGCAAUAUCCAAUUAGAAAAUGAG